rnacentral:lncRNA from 1 species
AAAUAAUGAAAUCUUUUUUCAGAAAAGCUCUCUGUUGGUAGAUACGCUGUUUCCUACUGUUGCUGAGACACGGGGGAGUACGGGGGCUCCGUGGGACCCGCGGGGACCCGCGGCUGACACGACCGUCGUCCCACAGCGCCAGGCCCGGCCAGACCCAGAAACACUCACUGGCAACCUUCGUUCCUGCUCUCGAGCAAACACCAUCCGUGGAAGAAAGAGCAUCACCGAUGCUUCCCGGUGAUCGGCUGAAGACCCGCCGCUGACUCCCGCUAGGAAAGAUGCGUUCGGUAGGAUCUCCUGGGAAAUGGCAACACUCCCCGUUCUGUUCCUAUCAACGUCUAAGCCACUGUUCGGUAAGCCGGUUCUAGACACACCAACCCCGCAAGACGUCGCUUCUGUCGUGAUCACGCAGCUGUGUGCUGUGACCAGACACUGCGACCCCUUCCAUGCUGCCCUUCACCGGGCCCUUCCCAUCUGGCCCGAGCACCUCCUCCAGGCUCUGCUCUGGGCUUCAAGGAGGACACGUCUGCCUGUCCAGGGGUCCUCAUCGGUUGACAGAAUACAAAUUCGGCGCUCAGGAGCCAGAAGUGAGGGCUCAGAGAAGAUAGAUGGUGGCAACAGAAGGCAGCUGAUGUUAAGAGGAACUGGUCACCAGGAGUGCCAACACCCCAGCAGGGCUGUGACAUAG